AAUACAGUUUCUGUGUGCUUAUUUCAGAGCUGAGCAGCUGGGAACAAACAAGCAGUCUCUGCCAACAAAUAAUAAGAUGUCAAGAUAAUAAAAGAUCUUGUUAAACAUACCAGAAAUGAGAAGAGUACAAAAUAAAAUACAUUAUUAAAAAAACUAAAAUUUGUGGGGAAGUCAAUUUUAAGAAGAAUGAGAAAUAUAAAGAGGAAGUUUGAAGAUUGAAAGAGCCAAAAACCCUGAAGACAGCUGUGAGACUGUUUCCAUUUCUCCUAUAAUGACGAGAUCCACUGGAGGCAGCAGAAGAGAAGGAAAGGCCAAAGCAGGUUGUAUGCUGCAGAGCCGGGAUAAGACUGGAGGAAUGUGUUUGAAGGAGAGGAG